UCCCGUGUGGCUCAGUUGGUAGAGCAUGGUGUUUGCAAUGCCAGGGUUGUGGGUUCGCUUCCCACAGGGGAC
rnacentral:tRNA from 1 species